CGGUCACAAUCGUCCUGCUGGUGUCAGGCUGCGCCACAGCCACGAUAAGUCAGUAUAACUAUUGGCCAGGAGGAAAAGGUCUAUAUAACAAUUAUAGGAACCGGCCUCAGCAAUCUUAUCCGACGUGGCGCUCGUAUGAUCCAUGUGACAAGGUGUAUUGCUACCCUAUCUACUGCCGGUAUGGACAAUACACACCGCAAGGCGAAUGCUGUCCACAGUGCACACCAGGUUCAUACAGGCCCGGAUCGUGGAAUAACGUGGGACAGCAAGGAAAUGCCGUGAGCGGGCUUGGAAAUAACGUUGGAUCGCAAGGAAAUUCGGUGAGCGGGGGAUGGAAUAACGUUGGAUCGCAAGGAAAUUCGGUGAGCGGGGGUUUAAAUAACGUUGGAUCGCAAGGAAAUGCCGUGAGCGGGGGAUGGAAUAACGUUGGGUCGCAAGGAAAUUCGGUGAGCGGGGGAUGGAAUAAUGUUGGAUCGCAAGGAAAUUCAGUGAGCGGGGGUUGGAAUAACGUUGGAUCGCAAGGAAACGCCGUGAGCGGGUGAUGGAAAAACGCGGGAUUGCAAUCGACGUACGUGAACUAAGUACAUAUAACAUGGAUCGCAGUAAACAAGGACAUGUACUGAAAAUGUGUGCCUUUGUAAAAAUACCGGUACUCAAUUAAUAUGUAUCAGCAACCAGUUAAAUCAUUUCUUAUUUAUUUAUACAGUAGACAUUACCACAAAUUAACUCUUUUAUGCCUAGUGGACUCUCUUAUCCUUCUAAAAUGAAUCAAUUUAUUUCCAAAAUUAGGGAUGUCUAGUAUAUUUAUUUCGAUAUUUAGAAUAUUUCUUACAGAAAUUCCUUUAAGCAAACAGCGCAGACCCUGAUGAGACGCCGCAUCAUGUUUGCCAAUGCCUU